AGUGAACGCUGGCGGCGUGCUUAACACAUGCAAGUCGAACGAGAACGGAUUAUAGCUUGCUAUAAUUGUCAGCUAAGUGGCGCACGGGUGAGUAAUGUAUAGGUAAUAUGCCUCUUACUAAGGGAUACAAAUGGAAACGUUUGCUAAUACCUUAUACUCCUUAUUAACAGAAGUUAAUAAGGGAAAGAUUUAUUGGUAAGAGAUUAGCCUGUAUUGUAUCAGUUAGUUGGUGGGGUAAUGGCUUACCAAGACUAUGACACAUAACUGGUCCGAGAGGAUGAUCAGUCACACUGGAACUGAGACACGGUCCAGACUCCUACGGGAGGCAGCAGUGGGGAAUAUUGCACAAUGGACGAAAGUCUGAUGCAGCAACGCCGCGUGGAGGAUGACACAUUUCGGUGCGUAAACUCCUUUUAUAUGAGAAGAUAAUGACGGUAUUAUAUGAAUAAGCACCGGCUAACUCCGUGCCAGCAGCCGCGGUAA
rnacentral:rRNA from 1 species